rnacentral:rRNA from 1 species
UACAGAGGUGGCAAGCGUUGUUCGGAAUUACUGGGCGUAAAGGGCGCGUAGGCGGCCUUCUAAGUCUUGUGUGAAAUCCCUCGGCUCAACUGAGGAACUGCACGGGAUACUGGAUGGCUUGAGUUCGGGAGAGGGAAGCGGAAUUCCGGGUGUAGCGGUGAAAUGCGUAGAUAUCCGGAGGAACACCGGUGGCGAAGGCGGCUUCCUGGACCGAUUACUGACGCUGAGGCGCGAAAGCUAGGGGAGCAAACGGGAUUAGAAACCCCCGUAGUCC